rnacentral:rRNA from 1 species
UAGGGAAUCUUCCACAAUGGACGCAAGUCUGAUGGAGCAACGGCCGCGUGAGUGAAGAAGGUCUUCGGAUCGUAAAGCUCUGUUGUUGGUGAAGAAGGAUAGAGGCAGUAACUGGUCUUUAUUUGACGGUAAUCAACCAGAAAGUCACGGCUAGCUACGUGCCAGCAGCCGCGGUAAUACGUAGGUGGCAAGCGUUGUCCGGAUUUAUUGGGCGUAAAGCGAGCGCAGGCGGAAUGAUAAGUCUGAUGUGAAAGCCCACGGCUCAACCGUGGAACUGCAUCGGAAACUGUCAUUCUUGAGUGCAGAAGAGGAGAGUGGAACUCCAUGUGUAGCGGUGGAAUGCGUAGAUAUAUGGAAGAACACCAGUGGCGAAGGCGGCUCUCUGGUCUGCAACUGACGCUGAGGCUCGAAAGCAUGGGUAGCGAACAGGAUUAGAUACCCUGGUAGUCCAUGCCGUAAACGAUGAGCGCUAGGUGUUGGGGGACUUUCCGGUUCUCAGUGCCGCAGCAAAUCGCAUUAAGCGCUCCGCCUGGGGAGUACGACCGCAAGGUUGAAA